UACAGAGGUGGCAAGCGUUGUUCGGAAUUACUGGGCUUAAAGGGCGCGUAGGCGGCCACCGCAAGUCGACUGUGAAAUCUCCGGGCUUAACCCGGAAAGGUCAGCCGAUACUGCGGGGCUAGAGUGCAGAAGGGGCAACUGGAAUUCUCGGUGUAGCGGUGAAAUGCGUAGAUAUCGAGAGGAACACCUGCGGCGAAGGCGGGUUGCUGGGCUGACACUGACGCUGAGGCGCGAAAGCGUGGGGAGCGAACAGG
rnacentral:rRNA from 1 species